rnacentral:rRNA from 1 species
CCUGCGGACCCCCCUCCCGGCCCUGCCCUCACGGGCGGAGCGCCCGCCGGAGGAUACCAAACUCUAUUUUAACGACGUUUCUUCUGAGUGGCACAAGCAAAUAAUUAAAACUUUCAACAACGGAUCUCUUGGUUCUGGCAUCGAUGAAGAACGCAGCGAAAUGCGAUAAGUAAUGUGAAUUGCAGAAUUCAGUGAAUCAUCGAAUCUUUGAACGCACAUUGCGCCCGCCAGCAUUCUGGCGGGCAUGCCUGUUCGAGCGUCAUUUCAACCCUCAAGCUCUGCUUGGUGUUGGGGCCCUACGGUUGACGUAGGCCCUUAAAGGUAGUGGCGGACCCUCUCGGAGCCUCCUUUGCGUAGUAACUAACGUCUCGCACUGGGAUUCGGAGGGACUCUUGCCGUAAAACCCCCAAAUUUUUAAAGGUUGACCUCGGAUCAGGUAGGAAUACCCGCUGAACUUAAG